CAGCAACUGGGCGUCUACGGGUGCACUGUCGAUACUCCAGCUCCAAGACUAGUUGCUGGGGUAAAACAGGAAGAAGUAGUUGGGAGUUGAGAGUGAAAGAAAGAAGAUGAAGUUAUGUGGUUGCUGUGUGGAUGCAGAAUCGAUCGGCUGUAGCAUUGCUAGUUCGUCAUGCAAGGGAUUUCACCAUCUGGUAGAAGUUGGCGCCAGACCUGCCCACUGGAGCAUACGUAUACCAUGGCUCGGCAGGGUUAUUCCCCUUCGCCACAGCGGUGGACAACUGCAUGGCACUGCAAGCUUCAGCAGCCUCAGCCGAAUCGUCUGCACCCCCGACUGUCUUGGGGUCAUUCCAUGGUCCUGAGGAGGAGCGCUGUCAGCUUCAACAAGUACUGCGGCAGUACUACACCAUCUUCACGGAAAAUCCCGGUAUGUCUCCCAAAGGAAGUGCAGGAGUAGUCACGGCCCUGGACGCUCUCCAGGGGCUAGUUCGACCGCAUGGCCUCAGGUUCCGAGCCAACCCACGCCACCACCUCACCGGUCAGUGGGUACAUGAACCAUCCUAGCGAGAGACAGACCUGUAUCGUGG